rnacentral:misc_RNA from 1 species
AAGUCGUAACAAGGUUUCCGUAGGCGAACCUGCGGAAGGAUCAUUACCGAGUUCCGAGUGCCUUUCAGGCCUCAACUCCCACCCUACGUGUACCUGUAAAUACGUUGCUUUGGUGGGUCGUGGACCUCGCGUCCCUGCUGGCUUCGGCUGGCGCGCACCCGCCAGGAGACCAAUAAACUCUGUUUGAACCUGUCGUCUGAGUGGAUUAUCAAUAAAUCAAAA